AAGAUGAAGGCGAUCGGCCGUUUCUUCGAGGAAGGCGACAAGGUGAAGGUGACCUUGAAGUUCCGUGGCCGCGAAAUGGCCCACCAGGAACUCGGCAUGAAGCUUCUUCAGCAGGUCAAGGAAGACACGAUUGAGAUCGCCAAGGUGGAAGCCGAGCCCAAGCUCGAAGGCCGUCAGAUGAUGAUGGUGCUUGCGCCGAAGUGAGGCGCAGGUUGGAGUAAGAGGUCGGAGCCGUCCCAUUGGGCGGCUUUUUCCUUUUUUGCAGCAAUGUCGAUGCCUGUCAUCGAUCUGCA
rnacentral:misc_RNA from 1 species